rnacentral:rRNA from 1 species
UACGAAGGGUGCAAACGUUGCUCGGAAUUAUUGGGCGUAAAGCGCACGUAGGCGGAUUGUUAAGUCAGGGGUGAAAUCCUGGAGCUCAACUCCAGAACUGCCUUUGAUACUGGCAAUCUUGAGUCCGGAAGAGGUGAGUGGAACUCCUAGUGUAGAGGUGGAAUUCGUAGAUAUUCGCAAGAACACCAGUGGCGAAGGCGGCUUACUGGUCCGGAACUGACGCUGAGGUGCGAAAGCGUGGGGAGCAAACAGG